CCCUGAGGGCCAGGGCCAGGUAGGGGGCGGGAGAAGAAGGGGAAGGAGGAGUUCCAGGCUCAGCCUCUGAUGCCACAGUCUCCACGGCAACUCCCCCAGGCCAAGCCAACCGACAAUAGGCUGCUCUCCCAGGGGUGCUGCUGCUGCUGCUGCUGCUUGCUGGGCCGCCGCUGCUGCUGCUGCUGCUAAGACGGUUUGAAUCCCUCCUAGAGCCUAGGUUCUAAUGGCCUUUGGGCGCAGGCACAGUGUGAAGCCGUUCUGAAUGACUAGCACCAAGGUCAGGGAGAGCUCGCCCAAGGAGACUGCAGGGCUAGGCAUGGAGCACCUCUUUGUGGAGGAGGUGGCGGCGUCUCUGGUCCGGGAAUUUCUCAACAGAAAGGGCUUAAAAAAAACGAGCCUUGUCAUGGACCAAGAGCAUCCUCGAGGUGAACACAGUAUAAACAACAGGAAUGAGCUGCGGAAGGUUCUGCAUCUAGAGAUGCUCUAUAAGGAAAACAAGG